GCCAGGCAUGGUGGCUCAUGCCUGUAAUCCCAGCACUUUGGGAGGCCGAGAUGGGUGGAUCACCUGAGGUCAGGAGUUCGAGACCAGCCUGGCCAACAUGGUGAAACCCCGUCUCUA
rnacentral:SRP_RNA from 1 species